rnacentral:rRNA from 1 species
AACCUUACCAGGUCUUGACAUCCCCUGACACCCGAGAGAGUCGGUCGUUCCCCUUCGGGGGGACAGGGUGACAGGUGGUGCAUGGUUGUCGUCAGCUCGUGUCGUGAGAUGUUGGGUUAAGUCCCGCAACGAGCGCAACCCUCGACCUUAGUUGCCAGCAUUCAGUUGGGCACUCUAAGGUGACUGCCGGCUAAAAAGUCGGAGGAAGGUGGGGAUGACGUCAAAUCAUCAUGCCCCUUAUGACCUGGGCUACACACGUGCUACAAUGGGCGGUACAAAGGGUCGCGAACCCGCGAGGGGGGAGCCAAUCCCAAAAAGCCGCUCUCAGUUCGGAUUGCAGGCUGCAACUCGCCUGCAUGAAGCCGGAAUCGCUAGUAAUCGCGGAUCAGCAUGCCGCGGUGAAUACGUUCCCGGGCCUU